rnacentral:rRNA from 1 species
CCUACGGGGGGCAGCAGUGAGGAAUAUUGGUCAAUGGGCGGAAGCCUGAACCAGCCAAGUCGCGUGAGGGAAUAAGGCCCUACGGGUCGUAAACCUCUUUUGCCGGGGAGCAAGGGCGGGGACGUGUCCCGGCCCGGAGAGUACCCGGAGAUAAAGCAUCGGCUAAGCCCGGGCCAGAGGCCGCGGUAAUACGGAGGAUGCGGGCGUUAUCGGGAUUUAUUGGGUUUAAAGGGUGCGUAGGCGGGCGUUUAGGUAAGCGGGAAAAAUUCGGGGUUAAACCCCGUCCGGCCGUUGAAACUGGGAGCCUAGAGUGGGCGAGAGGAAGGCGGAAUGCGUGGUGUAGCGGUGAAAUGCAUAGAUAUCACGCAGAACCCCGAUUGCGAAGGCAGCCUUCCGGCGCCCUACUGACGCUGAGGCACGAAAGUGUGGGGAUCAAACAGGAUUAGAUACCCGAGUAGUC